rnacentral:rRNA from 1 species
UACGGAGGGUGCAAGCGUUAUCCGGAUUCACUGGGUUUAAAGGGUGCGUAGGCGGGUUGGUAAGUCCGUGGUGAAAUCCCCAAGCUUAACUUGGGAACUGCCGUGGAUACUAUCAAUCUUGAAUAUCGUGGAGGUAAGCGGAAUAUGUCAUGUAGCGGUGAAAUGCUUAGAUAUGACGUAGAACACCAAUUGCGUAGGCAGCUUACUACACGAUCAUUGACGCUGAGGCACGAAAGCGUGGGGAGCAAACAGG